UCCGCAUUAGUGUAGGGGUUAACAUACUCCGCUUUCAAUAAAUUGAGCCGGAGAGCCCCGGGUUCGAUUCCCGGAUGCGGAA
rnacentral:tRNA from 1 species